UGCGGGUCCCCUCGCAACGCUAACUGGUGAACCCGGUCAGGCCCGGAAGGGAGCAGCC
rnacentral:SRP_RNA from 1 species